AAUGGGAUAAUCCCUCUUUAGA
rnacentral:tRNA from 1 species